rnacentral:rRNA from 1 species
UGGGGAAUAUUGGACAAUGGGCGCAAGCCUGAUCCAGCAAUGCCGCGUGAGUGAUGAAGGCCUUCGGGUUGUAAAGCUCUUUCGCACGCGACGAUGAUGACGGUAGCGUGAGAAGAAGCCCCGGCUAACUUCGUGCCAGCAGCCGCGGUAAUACGAAGGGGGCUAGCGUUGUUCGGAAUUACUGGGCGUAAAGGGCGCGUAGGCGGUGGAUCAAGUCAGGCGUGAAAGCCCCGGGCUCAACCUGGGAACCGCGCUUGAGACUGGUGCGCUAGAGUUCGGGAGAGGAUGGUGGAAUUCCCAGUGUAGAGGUGAAAUUCGUAGAUAUUGGGAAGAACACCGAUGGCGAAGGCAGCCAUCUGGACCGACACUGACGCUGAGGCGCGAAAGCGUGGGGAGCAAACAGGAUUAGAUACCCUGGUAGUCCACGCCGUAAACGAUGAGUGCUAGACGUCGGGGGCCCUCAGGGCUUCGGUGUCGCAGCUAACG